UACGAACCGAGCGACCGUUGUUCGGAAUCACUGGGCUUAAAGGGCGCGUAGGCGGACUAUCAAGUCUGGGGUGAAAUCCCGCGGCUCAACCGUGGAACUGCCUCAGAUACUGACGGUCUCGAGGGAGGUAGGGGCAUGCGGAACUGUAGGUGGAGCGGUGAAAUGCGUUGAUAUCUACAGGAACUCCGGUGGCGAAAGCGGCGUGCUGGACCUCUUCUGACGCUGAGGCGCGAAAGCUAGGGGAGCAAACGGG
rnacentral:rRNA from 1 species